GCUUCUUAACUCAAAUAAUUUUACUGGGGAGUUGCCAGAUACAUUUGGAAAUCUUACCACACUAAAAGACUUCCGGGUGGGUGACAGUCACUUUUCUGGGCAGAUACCUGAUUUUAUAAAGAACUGGACAAAUCUUGAGAAACU